rnacentral:lncRNA from 1 species
CAUAGGGUUUUGUUUUUCUCUUUUUUUUAAGUUGAGCACUUGAUCAUGUUGAGGUCAUAACCAUGAUCAUCUCUUGCUCCAUCACUUGGCAUGUACCAACCUCAUUAAGUCUACACACACUUAGCAUAGAGGUUAGUACUAGGGUUUCAUCAAUUAUCCAAAACCAAACUAGGGCUUUCACCAUGUGUGAGGGGUUUCUUAGGAUCGCUACACACUAGGACAUGUGGAUUCACUUGUUCUUUGUGGACAUCUCCUUGAAGUCCGGUGGCAUGGG